GAGUGAGAAGAGAUCAAAGAAACGUUUGCAUCCAGGGGGAUGGAGAACUCCACUGUAAAGAGGGGAAGAAGCAAGGAUGAAGACAAAUGUCUUUUGUGAAGACUUUGAAGUUGCAGGUUCAUUCUGCCGCCAUAUACGUAACAUUCUAAGGGUUUCACUGGUGCCUUGAGAACCUUUGACAUCUGUUUGCAGCUCGAAAGUCCAUGGAGCACCUUUAUGACCAAUAAAAGAGAAGGACCAAUGUAUAAAUAUUUUUUUCUUCUCUGAGGAUGGGCAAUUCUGAGAUGCAUUGCAUAAAGCAUCAAGUUAAUAUUUAAUCAGUUGAAGUAUAAGAUAUUGCAACUCCCACAUACCUGGCUUAAGGCAGGAUACAAAGGCAUAGAAUAGAAAUUGAAUCUGAGAACAUCCAAAAAGAUGUCAUGAGUCUCAUUGUUUUAUGGACUCUGGCCAUAAAACAAUGAGACUCGUGAAGGUAUAAAAAUCAUGAAUAAUUUUCAUAAUUCUCCUUCUCCAAGGCCCCAAACAAAUCCUUUCACUUCCUGAAGGAACCAAUUGACUUUUUCUUUUUCUCAAGAUUGUCAAGAGAGAUUUUUAUCCUCCCAGACUUGAAUGUCUUCUGAUUAGAGAAAUAUCUGCCCAAAAAACGUCAAAAAAGGAGAAAAAGAAGAACCUAAGGAACAUGAACAUGUCAUAGAAAUUUCUCUCGGUGGUAACCCAGCCUCAAACGGACCAACUGUGUGCAAAGCUUUUCCCCAUUUUCCUAAAGGAAAAAUGCUGCUCUUAACAGUACUUAUUUUUCAGGGGGCCCAAUUUCAGAUAUGUUGGUUUUGGCAGGCUUCUGCUCAAGCUGUAUUUUUUUCCUACUGAAUUACAGUAAGAACUAAGUAUUAGAGGCUGUAAUUAAAGGUUGGUGAGGCAAAACUGGAAAUGUGCUCAAUGGGCUGCACUCAGAUCCACCUGAUCCGGAUACAUCAAAAUAUUGGUCAAAACUUCCCAUUUAUGAAUCAGCUCAGUUCUGGACUGAAGAGAAGCUUUUGAGACCCUCUGGAUGCUUUCUCCCAGGUUCUCUGUUAUGGGUUGAAUUGUCAUAGGUCUUCAUAAAGGUUAUUAAGUUAUAAUAAGGCCAAAUGGUUGAGGCCCUAAUUCAGUAUGUCUAGUAUUGCUAGACAUAAGAACAAAAGACACCAGGAUGUGCACACACAGAGGAACGGCCAUGUGAAGACACAGGAAGAAGCCGUCAUCUGCGAGCCAAGGAGAGAUGCCCCAAGAGGAACCAAACCUAAUGACACUAUGAUCAUGGACUUCUAGUCUUCGAACUGUGAAACAAUCAAUCUCUGUUUUUUCAGCCACUCAGUCUGUGGUAUUUUGUUCUGGCAGCCCUAGCUGACUUGGAUAGUCUCCCAUGGUGAAGGUGCCCUGUGGGCCAGGCAGAGAUUCUUGUUCCCAGAGCAUGGCAUGGCCUUUCCUGUCUACUGGCUUUUGCAUGUGAUACUCAUGUCAGUAGGAUACCCUCCUUUAUUUCUUCACAUAUCCAAAUCCUACUGUCUUUCCAUGGAAAGGGAAAGCCCCUACACUACUGGUAAACUGCGACAGGGUCUCCCUAUGUUGCCCAGGCUGACCUCAAACUCCUGACCUCAAAUGAUCCUCCUGCCUGAGCCUCCCAAGAUGCUGGGAUUACAGGAAACAAAUAUA
rnacentral:lncRNA from 1 species